GCAGGGCAUGGUGGCACGUGCCUGUACUCCCAGCUACUCAGGAGGCUGAGGUGGGAGGAUCAGUUGAACCCAGGAGUUCUGGGCUGUAGUACACUAUGCUGAUGGGGUGUCCGCACUAAGUUCAGCAUCAAUGUGGUGACCUCCCAGGAGGGGGGGACCACCAGGUUGCCUAAGGAGGGGUGAACCAGCCCAAGUUGGAAAUGGAGCAAAUCAAAACUCCUGUGCUGAUCAGUAGUGGGAGCGCGCCUGUGAAUAGCCACAUCUCUUAAAAAAUAGAAAU
ensembl:misc_RNA Metazoa_SRP Metazoan signal recognition particle RNA